GGCGCCCUCGCCGCUCCGCCCCGCGCCCCGCCCCUUCCUGCGCUGGCCGCCAUCAUGGUGGAGGCAGCGCCGCGCGCUUCCUCCCUCAGCCACAACUGUUCAGAAUAAAAUCUCUUGACUCCUCUGGUCACUGAAUAUCUCCUGUUGCUUUGAACUUGGUGUGAACGGCAGGCUAGUGAUCUGUAGGCUGAUGUACCGUGACUAAAUCAGGACACCAAAGCCAAUAAAUAAAAAAUGUGAAAAUACAGAAGGAAAAAGCAAUGCAACUUACAUUUAUAUACAUACAUACAUAUAUUUCUAUUUUCACAAAAAUUCAAGAGUAAUGCAGAAAAUGGAAUAAAAAACCCCACCCUUUAAACAGCACAAGUGAUAUACUUGCUUCACUGAACAGCAUACCACUCAUCCAGAAGACAUCACAGCCUGGAAUACCUGUGGUCUUUGUCUCAAGCUGUGUUAAUGAAUGUGCCAUGAAAAUACUUGAGAGCAGGAAUCCAUGAAUGGGAUUUAGGAAUUUUAGGGUUAACAGGGUUCAGUUAUG
ensembl:lncRNA